UGGGGGAUGGUGCAACUGGUAGCACACCUGACUCUGGAUCAGGAUGUUCUAGGUUCGAGUCCUAGUCCCCCAGCCA
rnacentral:tRNA from 1 species